rnacentral:ncRNA from 1 species
GCGCGUCUGUGGUUGAAAGUCGAUGCCAGUCGCAGGCGAAACGAUCCACGUAAGCCGGGAAAAUCCCGGUGAGCAUGGUGCGGCUUAGAGGUAAGUCCUGCCAGUGUUUUUUAGCGUCCGCGCAAGCGAGGGGCGAUAAUGCUGAGAGAUGCAGUAGUGGGGAGGCAGAGUCCUUAAGAGCGAACCAUCCGGCAGGCGGGUGUGGGGUCAAAGACCAGGUCAGGCGC